AGAUCUGUAAGCUCAAAAUGGCAGAGCGCUCAAUCCUAUAAGAGGAUUGAGAGGUCGGUGGUUCAAAUCCACCCAGAUCUC
rfam:Gossypium hirsutum cultivar TM-1 chromosome 4, whole genome shotgun sequence